rnacentral:rRNA from 1 species
CUCAGGAUGAACGCUGGCGGCGUGCCUAAUACAUGCAAGUCGAGCGAACGGACGAGAAGCUUGCUUCUCUGAUGUUAGCGGCGGACGGGUGAGUAACACGUGGAUAACCUACCUAUAAGACUGGGAUAACUUCGGGAAACCGGAGCUAAUACCGGAUAAUAUUUUGAACCGCAUGGUUCAAAAGUGAAAGACGGUCUUGCUGUCACUUAUAGAUGGAUCCGCGCUGCAUUAGCUAGUUGGUAAGGUAACGGCUUACCAAGGCAACGAUGCAUAGCCGACCUGAGAGGGUGAUCGGCCACACUGGAACUGAGACACGGUCCAGACUCCUACGGGAGGCAGCAGUAGGGAAUCUUCCGCAAUGGGCGAAAGCCUGACGGAGCAACGCCGCGUGAGUGAUGAAGGUCUUCGGAUCGUAAAACUCUGUUAUUAGGGAAGAACAUAUGUGUAAGUAACUGUGCACAUCUUGACGGUACCUAAUCAGAAAGCCACGGCUAACUACGUGCCAGCAGCCGCGGUAAUACGUAGGUGGCAAGCGUUAUCCGGAAUUAUUGGGCGUAAAGCGCGCGUAGGCGGUUUUUUAAGUCUGAUGUGAAAGCCCACGGCUCAACCGUGGAGGGUCAUUGGAAACUGGAAAACUUGAGUGCAGAAGAGGAAAGUGGAAUUCCAUGUGUAGCGGUGAAAUGCGCAGAGAUAUGGAGGAACACCAGUGGCGAAGGCGACUUUCUGGUCUGUAACUGACGCUGAUGUGCGAAAGCGUGGGGAUCAAACAGG